rnacentral:rRNA from 1 species
AUUGAACGCUGGCGGCAGGCCUAACACAUGCAAGUCGAGCGGGGUUUUCGGACCUAGCGGCGGACGGGUGAGUAAUGCGUAGGAAGCUACCCGACAGGGGGGAUACCAGUUGGAAACGACUGUUAAUACCGCAUAAUGUCUACGGACCAAAGUGUGGGACCUUCGGGCCACAUGCUGUCGGAUGCGCCUACGUGGGAUUAGCUAGUUGGUGAGGUAAUGGCUCACCAAGGCGACGAUCCCUAGCUGGUUUGAGAGGAUGAUCAGCCACACUGGAACUGAGACACGGUCCAGACUCCUACGGGAGGCAGCAGUGGGGAAUAUUGGACAAUGGGCGCAAGCCUGAUCCAGCCAUGCCGCGUGUGUGAAGAAGGCCUUCGGUU